GUGCCAGCCGCCGCGGUAAUACAGAGGGUGCAAGCGUUGUUCGGAAUCAUUGGGCGUAAAGGGCGCGUAGGCGGUUUUGUAAGUCGAAUGUGAAAGCCCAGGGCUCAACCUUGGAAGUGCAUCCGAAACUGCGAAACUUGAAUCCUGGAGAGGGUGGUAGAAUUCCCAGUGUAGAGGUGAAAUUCGUAGAUAUUGGGAGGAAUACCGGUGGCGAAGGCGACCGCCUGGACAGAGAUUGACGCUGAGGCGCGAGAGCGUGGGGAGCAAACAGGAUUAGAUACCCUAGUAGUCC
rnacentral:rRNA from 1 species